rnacentral:rRNA from 1 species
GAUGAACGCUGGCGGCGUGCCUAAUACAUGCAAGUCGAGCGAAGAGGGGACGGGUGAGUAACACGUGGGUAACCUCCUAUAAGACUGGGAUAAAUUAGGGAAAACUGAGCUAAACCCGCUACUUAUCGAUGGUUCCGCGCUGCAUUAGCUAGUUGGUAAGGUAACGGCUUACCAAGUCCACGAUGCAUAGCCGACCUGAGAGGGUGAUCGGCCACACUGGGACUGAGACACGGUCCAGACUCCUACGGGAGGCAGCAGUAGGGAAUCUUCCGCAAUGGGGGAAAGCCUGACGGAGCAACGCCGCGUGAGUGAUGAAGGCCUUCGGAUCGUAAAACUCUGUCAUUAGGGAAGCGGUACCUAAUCAGAAAGCCACGGCUAACUACGUGCCAGCAGCCGCGGUAAUAC